GUGAGGAAUUUUCCGCAAUGGGCGAAAGCCUGACGGAGCAAUGCCGCGUGAAGGAUGAAGGCCUAUGGGUUGUAAACUUCUUUUCUCAGAAAAGAAUUAUGACGGUAUCUGAGGAAUAAGCAUCGGCUAACUCUGUGCCAGCAGCCGCGGUAAGACAGAGGAUGCAAGCGUUAUCCGGAAUGAUUGGGCGUAAAGCGUCUGUAGGUUGUUUAAAAAGUAUUCUGUCAAAGAUUAGGGCUUAACCCUAGAUAGGCAGAAUAAACUUUUAAGCUAGAGUUUGGUAGAGGCAGAGGGAAUUCCCGGUGGAGCGGUGAAAUGCGUAGAUAUCGGGAAGAACACCAAAGGCGAAGGCACUCUGCUGGGCCAAUACUAACACUGAGAGACGAAAGCGAGGGGAGCAAAUGGGAUUAGAUACCCGAGUAGUCC
rnacentral:rRNA from 1 species